GAGGGCAUGGUCGCGUGGUGCGACUGGGUGCUCGAGGCGCUCGAGCGCGGUUGAGCCCGCGCGCGCUCCC
rnacentral:tRNA from 1 species